rnacentral:rRNA from 1 species
ACGUAGGGGGCGAGCGUUGUCCGGAUUUAUUGGGCGUAAAGCGCGCGUAGGCGGCCCGUUAAGUCGGAUGUGAAAACCCGGGGCUCAACCCCGGGCCUGCAUUCGAUACUGGCGGGCUCGAGGCAGGCAGGGGAGAGCGGAAUUCCUGGUGUAGCGGUGAAAUGCGCAGAUAUCAGGAGGAACACCGGUGGCGAAGGCGGCUC